rnacentral:tRNA from 1 species
GUCCCGGUAGCUCAGUCCGGUUAGAGCACCUGACUGUUAAUCAGGGGGUCGCAGGUUCAAAUCCUGCCUGGGACG